rnacentral:rRNA from 1 species
GGCUUUUUGCAUAGUAUAAGAGGUCGUACCUGCCCGCUGUAAUUAUAUUAUGAAGGGCCGCAGUAAUUCUGACUGUGCUAAGGUAGCAUAAUCAUUUGUCAAUUAAUUGUUGAAUUGUAUGAAUGGUUUGACGAGAAAUUAAAUGUCUCAUUUGUGUUUAUUGAAUUUUAUUUUUUAGUGAAGAAGCUAGAAUGUUACUGAGGGACGAGAAGACCCUGUAGAGUUUUAGUAUGUGUGUUUAUGAUUUCUUGUGUAAUAGAUUGUUUGUUGUAUUUAUUUUGGUUGGGGCGAUUGAUUAAGAAGAUUAUCUUGAUUUGGAGUUAAAUCAGUGUUGGUUGAGUUAGUGAUCCAAUAUUAUUGGUUAAAAGAUCAAAUUACCUCAGGGAUAACAGCGUUAUUAUGUUUUAGAGUUCUUAUCGAUAAUGUAGUUUGCGACCUCGAUGUUGAAUUAGGUGGUAGAGUGUGGUGUAGGAGCUCUCUUGAGUAGUCUGUUCGACUAUUGUAUACCU